UGAUAAUAAUUUAAAGUCUAAUCUGCUCAGUGAAUUUUAAAUAGCCGCAGUAUUUUGACUGUGCAAAGGUAGCGUGAUAAUUAGUUUAUUAAUUGUAAACUUGUAUGAAGGAUUGGACGAGAAAGUCUCUGUCUCAUUUUAAUUUAUAUUGAAUUUUACUUUUAAGUUAAAAGGCUUAAAUUAAGAUAAAAGACGAGAAGACCCCAUAGAGUUUUAUUUAAAUUAGUUGGGGUGACUUAAAGAUUUAAAUAACUCUUUAAAUUUAAAAUCAUUGAUUUAUGAAUUAAAAAUCUGAAUAUUUCAAUUUUAAAUUAAGUUACCUUGGGGAUAACAGCGUAAUUUCUUUUAGAGUUCAUAUCAAAAGAGAAGAUUGCGACCUCGAUGUUGGAUUAAAGAAAAAUUUAGGUGCAGAAGUCUAGAUUUUAAGUCUGUUC
rnacentral:rRNA from 1 species